rnacentral:rRNA from 1 species
CCUACGGGAGGCAGCAGUAGGGAAUCUUCCACAAUGGGCGAAAGCCUGAUGGAGCAACGCCGCGUGAGUGAAGAAGGUCCUCGGAUCGGAAAACCCUGUUUUUAGAGAAGAAAGUGCGUGAGAGUAACUGUUCACGUUUCGACGGUAUCUAACCAGAAAGCCACGGCCAACGAUGUGCCAGCAGCCGCGGUAAAACGUCGGUGGCAAGCGUUAUCCGGAUUUAUUGGGCGGAAAGGGAGCGCAGGUGGUCUUUUAAGUCUGAUGUGAAAGGCUUCGGCUUAACCGGAGUAUUGCAUUGGAAACUGGCAGACUUGAGUGCAGAAGAGGUGAGUGGAACUCGAGGUGUAGCGGUGAAAUGCUUAGAUAUAACGAAGAACACCAGUGGCGAAAGCGGCUCUCUGGUCUGUCACUGACGCUGAUGUUCGAAAGUGUGGGUAGCAAACAGGAUUAGAUACCCGAGUAGUC